rnacentral:rRNA from 1 species
UAUUUAUUAGAUAAAAAACCAAUGCCCUUCSGGGCUCCUUGGUGAAUCAUAAUAACUUAACGAAUCGCAUGGCCUUGCGCCGGCGAUGGUUCAUUCAAAUUUCUGCCCUAUCAACUUUCGAUGGUAGGAUAGUGGCCUACCAUGGUAUCAACGGGUAACGGGGAAUUAGGGUUCGACUCCGGAGAGGGAGCCUGAGAAACGGCUACCACAUCCAAGGAAGGCAGCAGGCGCGCAAAUUACCCAAUCCCGACACKWKGAGGUAGUGACAAUAAAUACUGAUACAGGGCUCUUUUGGGUCUUGUAGUUGGAAUGAGUACAAUUUAAAUCCCUUAACGAGGAACAAUUGGAGGGCAAGUCUGGUGCCAGCAGCCGCGGUAAUUCCAGCUCCAAUAGCGUAUAUUAAAGUUGUUGCAGUUAAAAAGCUCGUAGUUGAACCUUGGGCCUGGCUGGCUGGUCCGCCUCACCGCGUGUACUGGUCCGGCCGGGCCUUUCCUUCUGGGGAACCUCAUGCCCUUCACUGGGCGUGUUGGGGAACCAGGACUUUUACUUUGAAAAAAUUAGAGUGUUCAAAGCAGG